rnacentral:rRNA from 1 species
GACGAACGCUGGCGGCGUGCUUAACACAUGCAAGUCGAACGGAAAGGCCCUGCUUUUGUGGGGUGCUCGAGUGGCGAACGGGUGAGUAACAAGUGAGUAACCUGCCCUUGACUUUGGGAUAACUUCAGGAAACUGGGGCUAAUACCGGAUAUGAGCUCCUGCUGCAUGGUGGGGGUUGGAAAGUUUCGGCGGUUGGGGAUGGACUCGCGGCUUAUCAGCUUGUUGGUGGGGUAGUGGCUUACCAAGGCUUUGACGGGUAGCCGGCCUGAGAGGGUGACCGGCCACAUUGGGACUGAGAUACGGCCCAGACUCCUACGGGAGGAAGCGGUGGGGAAUAUUGCACAAUGGGCGGAAGCCUGAUGCAGCAACGCCGCGUGCGGGAUGACGGCCUUCGGGUUGUAACCCGCUUUCGCCUGUGACGAAGCGGGAGUGACGGUAAUGGGUAAAGAAGCACCGGCUAACUACGUG